rnacentral:tRNA from 1 species
CAAGGAAUAGUUUAAAUGUUUAGAAUUCUAGCUUUGGGAGCUGGAGGUAAGAGUUAAAGUCUCUUUUCUUUGA